rnacentral:rRNA from 1 species
UGGGGAAUUUUGGACAAUGGGCGAAAGCCUGAUCCAGCAAUGCCGCGUGUGUGAAGAAGGCCUUCGGGUUGUAAAGCACUUUUGUCCGGAAAGAAAUCCUUGGCUCUAAUACAGUCGGGGGAUGACGGUACCGGAAGAAUAAGCACCGGCUAACUACGUGCCAGCAGCCGCGGUAAUACGUAGGGUGCAAGCGUUAAUCGGAAUUACUGGGCGUAAAGCGUGCGCAGGCGGUUUGCUAAGACCGAUGUGAAAUCCCCGGGCUCAACCUGGGAACUGCAUUGGGUGACUGGGCAGGCUAGAGUAUGGCAGAGGGGGGUAGAAUUCCACGUGUAGCAGUGAAAUGCGUAGAGAUGUGGAGGAAUACCGAUGGCGAAGGCAGCCCCCCUGGGCCAAAUACUGACGCUCAUGCACGAAAGCGUGGGGAGCAAACAGGAUUAGAUACCCUGGUAGUCCACGCCCUAAACGAUGUCAACUAGUUGUGGGGAUUCAUUUCCUUAGUAACGUAGCUAACGCGUGAAGUUGACCGCCUGGGGAGUACGGUCGCAAGAUUAAAACUCAAAUGAAUUGACGGGGU